GCACAUCCUUCGUGCGCAGAGGGGGGAGAAAAAGACGGAGAGAAAGAAUGAAAGAAGGGAAAAAAAAGGCAGCACGGCACCCGGAGAAAGGAGGCAACUCGGGGAGAGGAGGAGGAGGAGAAGAAAACACACACGCGCGCACGCACACACACACCGCGGAGAGAAAAGAACAGAGAAUCAAAGUGAUCAAAUAUGCUAAAAAGGGGGGCGCGGGAGGGAAUGCGAUUUAUAGGCGCCGGGGCUGGCAGAAGUGGCUUCUCCGCGAUCAGCUCACUGAGCUCUCUAUAUAGUGAACUUUGACACGACUGCUGCAACUUAGCGCACGUUGCCAUGGUGACGGCGCGCCUUAUAAGGCAGCAGCCGGGGUUGGCCUGGCCAGGCGCGCGCGCGCCGCCCCCUCGUCGUCAUUGGCCGGAGCGCGGCGGCCCCGCCAUGGCGGCCGCGGGCUCAGCCCGGUCCUAGCGCGAGCGGCGUCGCGGCCGCGGCGCGGGGCGCGCGGGGGGCCAAGGGGGGCGGGGAGGGGGCGGCCGCGCCGCCACCACCGCCGGGCGGGGGAUGGGCCCGGGCCGGCCCCGGGCACGCGGCCCCCGAGCUCUCCGCACCCCGCACCGGAGGUUUCCGCCCCAGCGGGGAGAGGAGCGCGGCGCGCACACACAACGCCUCUUAAAGGCUCCGCGAGAGGCUUUGGAUGGAAUCGAGGACUUCGCCUCCCGCAACUUGGCGAUGCCACGAAAUCCGUCGCUCGCGCACCACCCGGGACUCCCGGCGCAUCUUUGUGCCCCCAGUGCCAGAGAAAGAGAAAAGUUCCCCGGUUUCUUUGCAGAGGGGUAGUGGGUGGGGGGCAGGAUAGGUGCCGAGAACCGAGCUUGGAGGCAUUUUGCAAACGCAACAUUUGGUCAGAUCCGGGUGACGGUAGACCCUUCUCUUAAGCAACUCUGAUCACUUGCUUGGUUUUGUGGCUUGAUAGACAUAUAUAUAUAUAUAUUUUUCCUUUUUAGAGGGAAAAAAGAAAGAAGCCAUUUGGUAUCUGUCUUUUCCUUGCAGGGUUAACAUUUCACAGGUAUGUGGCCUGACAUUUUAAUUGCUCAAAUGAAACAUCUCGGAUGGUGAGAAGCACAAGUAGACUUCAUCUCAUUGUCAUGACGCAAUUAAAAUCAAUUUUCCUCAACUUCAUCCUCUCUCAUUAGUUAUAGCUAACUCACAAGCCAACGUCCUGCCACACUACCCAGUCGUGGAGAGAGGUGAAUAGACCGUUCUGUCCGCUGAUGGACGAGCGGAGGCAGCCUCCCAGCCUCCUAGCCUCCCCUGUGCAUACCCUCUGUACACACAUGUAAGCGCACAUGUAUCAGAUGCAUAUUUGUCAAUGUACACAGACAAAGACUUCAGCGCCUAUGCUUCUAGCUCAUGGAACAGUUGAGGACGAACUUCAUUGUUCCUCAGGUUCCUUUUAGGCAUCCAUUGAGUCAUUAAAACACGACCAGCGAUCCUGCUCCAGAUUGGAAAUAAUACCAAGCACAACUCACAGGAACCACACACAAGCCACAGGCCACCUCAAGAGAUUCACUGCAAUAAGAACAACUUAAUAGCCUAUGCCAGUCUGCUUCAAUGUGCUAAAAUCAUCAACAUGGAUGUGUCUCUGAACUCCAGGGCGUUUGGCUUUAAACAUCACACAUCUAGAAUUGGCCCCACGGAACACACUGCAUUUCAGGGCAGGCACCUUUCGGUUUGAUCACGAGAAGUUCAUUUUGAUUGUUCAACGUUUAGAAAACAAAAUUUUGACAGCAUCGCACACGUUUUGCCCCAAGAAAAACUGUAAACUUGGAAGCCAACCAGGUUUAUGAACAGUUGAAAUAUUUUACAUCAACCACGCUGAGUUUCAGGAAACAUGAACACAUGUGAAGAGUAAAGUAAUGACCCCAGGAAAGCAUCCUUGAUAGUGCAAAAAAUGGACGAGAUGAAAGGUGUAAAAAAAACCAACCACAGACCACACAUACGAUUGACCUGUGCUGGUGUGUGCUCUUUGCAUUCAAUAAAUACCCUUUACCCACAGGCAGAAUACAAGGUACGUACUAAGUGAAGAUAUAGGCAGACAGGGGCUAGUUUUUAGGAGAGGAGAAACCCUCUUUAUACUUCCUUGCUGAAACCUUCUUAGUCCUCACCCUUUCUCCGCUGAAAUCACGUAUUUCACUAAAGCUGCAGGUGCUGGGAUUAUUUGAAAGUUGUAAAAAAAAAAAAAAAAAAACCCAACUACAGUGGACACUGAACUAUCAUAAACCUGGUGUGCAAUGAGAUUGCCACAGAGAAGGCAGGCUGAGAAUUUCAGGUUGAUUAGAGACACAAUAUCACUUUCUCUUAAAGAGGACAGAGGAUGGAAAAGAAAUCAUUUCAAAGGUUUUUUUUCCCCCCCUUUCAACUCCUAUGAUUCAAGGGAUUGCCUAAUGCUACAAAUGUCAGUAGAUUAGGGGCAAUCUCAGCAGAGAUGUGGUGGGGCUGGGAUGAGACAGGAAAUCUAAUGGACAUACCCAUCUCAAUUUAAUAGAAGAGAAUAAUUGAUUGUAGGGAAAUCUUAAUCUUGCCUCUUGAGUGCAGACACUUCCAUAGCAAGAUCACCUUUUACAGACAUGCAGUGGGAAAUUUCUGAAAAGCAACAGCUUCCACAGGGCACUUAGAGAUUUUUGGUGUUUGAAGUAUGCUCAGAUGGACUUAGAUUUAAAAUGAAGAAUUUCCCAAUCUCCUACAAAACUGGAGCCUGCCACAGCACACGACCACAGGCUUCCCAUGAAGUCAGACGUGUUUCACUCUGUAUUUUAGAUUCAUUCAGUUAUGGGGAUGCUAUUAGAAAUUCAAAACAAUAAAUAAAUGACCAUAUCAAUUGUAGUUAAUUUUUACUGCAUAUAAGAAGAGAAAGGACUGCAGACUGAGAAAAAAAAAAGGAGGGGAGAAUAUUUUCAAAUGCCUUCUUCAGAGAUGCUCAUUUCCCUUGAAUAAAACAGCUCUCUAAGACUAAAAGAGAAAUAUCAAUAUGUCGUUACUGUUCAAAAAAAAAAAAAUCCAGCCCAGUCUUUUAUUGCAGAUGUAAAUUUAUUUUAAUGAGGGGAAUGGCAAGCUUUAAUUUGGCUGGAGAAAGUUGGAAAAACAUUUGUUUUCCUCUGGUGGAAAAAAAAAAAAAGUAAAGCAAACCCACCCAGGAAUAUGAUUUUCUUGCAGCAAGUGGCCUGACGGCUGUCAUUCUCCCCAAAUGAAAUCACAAUAGGAAUACAGACCCCAGCAAAUGCCGAGUUUAACUCUGAACUCAGUAGAAACCAGUUCUGUCCACCAGGAUUCAUUGAAUUCCUCCUUUCCCUCAAUCUAGUUCGUGUGUGUUUUUUCUCUUCCACCACACUGGAGCUCCAUGAAUAGGGAAAGGGGUUUCCAUUGUGUCCCUCUGAACUUCCAAGUCAAUGCAAUUUUUAACCACUGGCUUGUGGUACUUUGAAAAUCACCAGGGGCUGUCAGAGUUGGGUCCUCUGAAAAAUUUACAGUGCUAAAUCAGAGCAUAUGCUGGGAGGGAAAAAAUUGCUUAACAUUGGAGCAAGUACAGUAUCUGUCUGCCCCCUAGUGUAAGAGUCCUCGCUGCCUAAAAUUCAACUUUAAAAGAAAAGGAGCUCUUAAAGGGAAACGACUUGGAGCUCACGUAGGCAUACGAGAAUGAAACUUCUGUACAUUUUAAUCUGAAUAAUUCUUCAGGAUUUAAAAUUAAUUGGCUCUAGCUUGGUUGGACCGGACUCGGAUCUCGCCACCGCUGCGUUUCCCGAGUCACUGGCGGGGAGAGGUGAUCUUCUUCUUUUUUUUUUUUUUUUUUUUUUUUUUUUUUCCUCCCUGAACUGGGUUUAUGUGCGUCCCCCUCACCCCCUCCUCUCUUUUUCUUUCUCUGUCUCUGUCGUCUCUCUCGCUGGCUUUUUAAAAAUGAGGAACCGUUCCUUGAAUGUUCUGGACAGAGCACAGAAUUGCUUCUUAAGUCAGCCCGACGCGGUUGCAAUAGACAGCCAAAAGGUAAACGUUUGCCUGAAAUCCGCACGCCAGUUCCGCCACCCCGCCCGAUGGUCUCGUUUCCUCUGGGAUUGCUCCUGAGCGGGCUGUCUUCAUGCCAGGGGCGGGCAGUCGAAUCGCUGGCCUUCACGGGACCACUGGACAUCUGGCAGAAAACAGGAAGCCGUGACUUCGCUCAGCCGGAAAGCUACGAGAAUGUUCUUUGGCCCCCGACGUGGGGUGGGGGAUGUUGUUUCGCUGGUGCUCCAGACGCCCCUACGGUUUCUUCGGAGCCUCGUCUAUACCUGCGACACUAAGGUUUGUGAAGUCACUCGAGUCUCAUGAAGGAUUUAGUUGCACUGCGUUGCCGUGAACGCUUGGAUUUGGACGCAAGGCUCACGCCUGCCUUCUGGAUUUUCCAUGGUAGGGUGAAAAAAAAAAAUGCGCGACACACAUCACCAAGAAUCCAUGUCUGUGCCUGGCAGUGUAAUCGAGAAAAGCUUUGGAAUGCGAGUGGACGGCAUUAUGAAUAGCUUUCCUUAGCACACCUGCAGAAAGGCACUUCCGUUAGACACACCUUUGCCAAGUGCGUGUGCGUAAGGCACAGUGUUAGACAGAUGUGAAAAAUGGGUGGGUGAUGCCUUUGUAGAAGAUUCUCCCAGGACUCUGAUGGGCUGAGGUUUAGAGAUGCCCAUACAGCCUCCAGGCGCUAAGAAGAUGACAGCCGGGGCCCGAUAUCAGCCCAUGAAAUAUUUUCAUCAUCAGGAUGAAGAAAAUUAUUUUGCACCGUUUCUGUUGUUCGGAAGUGGAAACAUUUUCGGGUGUGAAUCCCCCAAGGGACUUUCUGUGGCCUCCCUACCUCUUAUCCGGGAUUGUGCAGUAUGGAGUCAGAAACGCCAUGGGAAGAAGUCAUUGGGCUGCCUUCUCCAGGAGCUUUCCCUGGGCAGUCGUCUCUGCCCAUGUUACGGAAGACGGCAAAAAAUCCGAGCCAUCAUGCAUCUGGCCAAUUAUGCAAUGCUCCGUCGCGAGGGGAAAUUCCUUCCUCACCCCAGCUGGUGAACAGUUAUGCCCUGGAGCCCAGGACGGCCAUGCCUUGUAACUUUUUAACCUAGUUAGUGUAACUGCCAAUAUUAUUCCUAUUCAUAUAAAUGUCUAAUCCUUUCUUGAAUCUUGCUAGACUAUUUGCCUCAAUAAUACCCUGCGGCAGUGAAUUCCACAGGUAGGUUAUACGCUGUUUUAAGAAGUAUUUCCUUUUUUUUUUCAUUUUAAAUUUGUUACCUUUUAACGUCGCAGGAUGGCCCUUGUUCUUGCAUGAAGGGGCCCGGGGUCCAGGCGUUUCAAGUUCUGCUUUAAUUUUUCCAAGCGCUUUGCCAUCAUUAGAACUCUGUCUUCAUCAGGUAUUUUCGGUUUUGGUGUAUCCAAUCUUGAUUAAACGAGAUGAUUGAUGUGAAUAGUCUCAUAUGGCUUUGGCACAUAGUAGGCACCGGAAAAAAGCUCUCCUUGGUAUUCAUUCCACUUAUUGGACAGCUUUUUUUUUUUUUUUGAGUACCUACUGCAUGCAGGAAUCAUUGUAAGUAUUGGAGAGACCGCGUUGAAUGAGACAGGGUCCUUGUUGGAAGGACCCAAUUUCCUAGAGAAGAUGAGCAGCGACAUAGUGAACAAAGAUGAACGACAGGGUCUCCAGUCGUCGUAAGUACUACGGGAAAAUUAGAGAAGAGUGGUUGGCAGAGGAUGGAAGGGGCCCCAUGAGAUUGCACCGUCAGGGAGUAACUCACUGAAAAGGGGCCGGUUGAGCUGGCCCUCAAGGAAGCAUCUGUGUGAAAUCUCCAUGAAGGUGAACCCACGCUCCCAGACACUGCCUGGCAGGAGGUGCCGUCUGUCUGGCGUGUCGCAGGGCCAUGGCCCCGGGUGUGCCCAACGCCCAGCAUCUCCGUCGGAUACAGUUUUGACAUCUUCGCGGUGAGGCCUCGUCCACACCCGCGGACUUUCAGGCGGGAUAUGUUGCUCAGCUGCCCACCUUUGUCUGGGUCUAUAUUAAUAUGGAGAAAUGCAUUGACCAUCAGUGUUAAGGAACAUCUCUCACUGGUGACUAAGAAAAUAAUCAAUCCUAUAGCAAGUACCAACUGGAGACACAAAGAUGGUGGCAUUGACUCUGCUCUCAAGGAACUCCCGGAAGGAGACAGAAGAAGAAUCAACACAGAGAGUUGUAUACCACGGAGCAAAUGAAACAGCCCCCCAUUACUGAGCGCUAACAGGACAGCUUUGCCCAAUGGAUUUGAUCGACAAAACCCUUUCGUGAAGGAUAAUCUUAGAGAAUUAGCGUUUCAAGGAGUAAACUUUCGGAAGCAUGGAUUCAAAUGUUUUAAGAUGGCAAACACCUGUGGGCACAAGAACACUUUACCCCAAACACCAUCAGGUUCUUAAGUGAAAAAAAAAUCCUGAGGGAGCAGACGACGAUUUUGCAGCAAUCACUAUCUGCUAAACUAUAUUAAAGUUGCAUCAGCUCUACUUGUCCUCAAAGAUUGGAAGUCAUAUAAAGGGUGAGUCUCUCUAGCUGAAGACAUCUACUGAAGAGAGUCCAGCUAAUUACAUGCAAGGAUUAACUUCUCAAGUACCCAGAAAAAGGUCAGUUGGAAACGGUAAAGGCCUGAAAGAUAGGAUGGGUUAAGAAGAUGGGCUCCAAUGGCCUGGGCUCUUAUUCUAACUUUCUUGCUGGGUGAUGGUGCAUAAGUUAGCUUACCUCUCUGGGCCUUCUUGCUGGGUGAUGUUAGGUGAGUUAGCUUGCCUCUCUGGGCUUCUGCUUUCUUCUCUGUACAGUGAGGAUUAAAGGAGGCAAUCAAUUCUAUUAGAAUCUAUACUGAUAGGAGCAGAAAUAUUUGUUUUGUUCCCCAGUGUACUCCAAGUGCCCAGAGAGGUUCUCGGCACAUAGUAGGUGUUGGAUGUUUACUGAAUGACUAGCUUCCUUCCAGAGUGACGGAAAAUACGUAAGCCUUUUUCUGAGUUCCCUUCUCAACUUUCUUCACAUUCUCUCAAAGUGAUGCUUCGCCGGAAUAUUCUUAUUGUUCUCUAACAGUCAAAUGGCCCCAGUAUUUUGUUUACCAUGCCAGACCAACACUAGUGGCAUAGUUAAAAGUCUAAACAUUCCGUGGACUUUCACAUCCUCCAAAAUGUUUAUUGAUUCAAAGAAAGUAGAUGCAAAUAUUUGAAGCUUCAACCAAGUUUAGGCUUCUUCUUUUUUUUUUUUAUUUUACUGUUUACAAAACAAGGUAUUUUAUGGAUCUAAUUUAUACAUCGAAUAGAAGAGGGCUAUUCCCAAUAUUAUCUUUAUCUUCUAGACAUAAAUAACAAACAACUCCAGUAAUCAAAAUUUACUACAAUUGUAAUAGAUUUUGGCAGAGUUUAUGGAUUGCAUACCCUGCUAACAUAACGCCGACUGCCAAGGAUAGAGGCCAGGAUUUUUAGUUUGGCUUUGUUAAGUGGAAAAAAAAAAUCUACUACUGUAUUUGUAGCUUUUACUACAUUCAAGAGAUUAAUUUUCAUAAAUAAAAUAGUUUAUACCGGCUUCUAAUCAGAAAGUUGAAAUUAUCUGAGGCAAUGGAACCACUCAAAACUUGUAUACUAUGAAAAUAUUUCAAUAAUUAAUGCAUGCUUCAUCUAGAGUAAUUGACAGGAGGUCAUAAACGUAAUGGGCCAUCUGUGUUUGAUUUGUACGUGAAAAUGCUUAAAGGGAUAGGCAGGUAAUUCAAGCUUCUCUGGCAAGGAAGAUUUGUUCCAACUCCUCCAAGAAACAGAGCCAUUUACUAGGGGGAUUUGCUUUCUUCUUUCUUAAAGUCUUUUCCAGAUUUCUGCUGGAGCUACACACUUCUUGCUACUCAUUCUCAUGCAAGCAUCUCCUUUAGAGUCGGUAUAUGUGGAUCACAGCCAUCCUUGACAAUUCUACUUGGUUGUCCUGGCCUUUUCAAUAGGAACUUGAAAGCCAUAUUGAUUAAAAAAAACUAUACCAGAGGCUCACUCCAAUGCUGUGACUUUACCACUGAUUUCGCUCAAUCUGACCACUUCCAAAAUUUAUUUCGCAAUUUUUCCUCUUCCGUCAGUUAACAAACCACCUUGCUUAUAUCUGUAAACAAAGAGGAAUAGGGCCACUAGGAACCUUAGCAGCAUUUUUGUAAUUCAGUCCUUUGGGGGUGGACCAGAAUCACAAUAUUUCAAGGUGUAGAAUGGUCUUGGUGAACAUCAAAGGAGGUUCUAGAAUUCUCUGCGCAAGGACACCAAAGAGCAUUGAAUAAUUGCCUAGAAGGCUGUCCUGAGAUCCAGACCCACAAGUUCAUCCAAGAGCACCUAUUCAGCUGGCAUUUACUGAGCAUUUAGCACCUGCCACGUGUUGUGCUAAGUAAGCAAUGAUUAUGCUGAAAGCCACGUUGAGGGGUUGAACUAAACCAACAAGGUCCCUGCCUCAUGGAUCUUACACUCUAGUAAGUGCAACUUUUUCCCUAGACAUCUUAUAGACACCACGAACGCCAUGCUAGAAACCUAAAUGUGCCAUCUCCCCUAAUUACCUCCCUUCUAAAAAUCUGUUUCUCCUCCCGUAUGCCCCAGUUUGGGAAAAUGUGCCACCCAGUUGUUGCAGGCAAAAACCCAGGAUUAUCCUAGGCUCUUCUCUUCAUCUUUCCUCUUCACCAGAGCAACCCACAAGCUCUGUCCGUGCUAAUGACCUACCACUGUUUGACUCUGCUUCCUUUUUUCCAUCCCUAAUGGUAACACCCUUAAUUAGGUUCUUUAAAAAAAACUUUUUUAAAAAAAAAUAUUUAUUUAUUGACUUUGAGACAGAGAGAAAACAAGCAGGGGAGGGGCAGAGAGAGAGGGAGGUGAGGAUCCCAAGCAGUCUCCGUGCUGUCAGUGCAGAGCCUGAUGCAGGGCUGGAACUCAACGGGCCGGGGCAAGAGAUCAUGAACUGAGCUGGUAUCGAGUCGGAUGCUUAACUCCAGGCGCCGCACCCCCAUCUUCAUUCAUACAUAUACAUAUGUAUGUAUAUAUUUGUCUGGAAUAUGGCACCAACCUCCAGUAAUGCUUUCUUACCAAUCUAGUUUUCAUACUGUUGCCAGAAUGGUAUAGUCAACAUACAAUGCUAACAUCAUUCUGGCAUUUCCUUGUAAAAGGUCCUUCCUGGGAUGCCUGGGUGGCUCAGUCAGUAAAGCACCGACUUUGGCUCAGGGAAUGAUCUUGCAGUUCGUGAGUUCGAGCCCCAUGACGUGCUCUGUGCCUAAAGCUCAGAGCCUGGAGCCUGCUUCGGAUUCUGUGUCUCCUUCUCUCUCUGCCCCUCCCCUUCUCUC